rnacentral:rRNA from 1 species
AUUGAACGCUGGCGGCAGGCCUAACACAUGCAAGUCGAGCGGAUGAAGGGAGCUUGCUCCUGGAUUCAGCGGCGGACGGGUGAGUAAUGCCUAGGAAUCUGCCUGGUAUUGGGGGAUAACGUCCGGAAACGGGCGCUAAUACCGCAUACGUCCUGAGGUAGAAAGUGGGGGAUCUUCGGACCUCACGCUAUCAGAUGAGCCUAGGUCGGAUUAGCUAGUUGGUGGGGUAAAGGCCUACCAAGGCGACGAUCCGUAACUGGUCUGAGAGGAUGAUCAGUCACACUGGAACUGAGACACGGUCCAGACUCCUACGGGAGGCAGCAGUGGGGAAUAUUGGACAAUGGGCGAAAGCCUGACCCAGCAAUGCCGCGUGUGUGAAGAAGGUCUUCGGAUUGUAAAGCACUUUAAGUUGGGAGGAAGGGCAGUAAGUUAAUACCUUGCUGUUUUGACGUUACCAACAGAAUAAGCACCGGCUAACUUCGUG